AUGUUCACUGUUAUAUUCCUGUGUCUGUGGCUUUCACUGAGUGACUCCAUGGCAGAUUCAAUAGAGCCACUUUUCACUCAGAAAGUUGUUGAUGAAGGUGAUGAUGUUACUCUGUCCUGCAGCUACAAACCGACUGGUGCAUCAGACUCCCUACAAUGGUACAGACAAUAUCCAAACUCGAAACCUCAGUUCCUUCUUUAUAUCUUACCAAGUGGACAUAAAAGUAACCCUCCUCCACCACGUCUCUCUGCUGAAGUUGAUGAAAAGAAGAAAAAAGUGGAUCUGCUCAUCUCCUCUGCUGCUGUAUCAGACUCUGCACUAUACUACUGUGCUCUGCAGCCCACAGUGAGGCUGCUGACAACAGCAUUCAACCAGCCCAAACCACUAUAUCUGGAACCGAAGGCAGCAACAUCACACUGUCCUGCACAUAUACUGGAUCAGUUCGGAGUCUCUACUGGUACCAACAAAAACCUGGAUCAAGACCAGAGUUUCUGCUGCUGA